UUUAUUGUAUUUGAACUGGGUAUAGACCGAUUAUCGGCCCUGGGCCAUUAUCGGGCCGUUUUAUGGCAGUUUGCAGAUUAUCUGUAUCUGCAUUUUAUUUGCCUGACAACCGAUAAAGUUAAUGAAUUAAACUUGUUCUACUUUGGCUCUGCUACAUCUCUGUCCCUCUGCUUCGGUUUCACUCACCACUGAGUCUGACUUCAUGUCCCGACCACAACA